GCCCCUGUAGCCCAGUUGGAUAGAGCGUGGCUUUCCUAAAGCAGAGGUCGCAGGUUCGAGCCCUGCCGGGGGUG
rnacentral:tRNA from 1 species